rnacentral:rRNA from 1 species
CGGACGGGUGAGUAAUGUCUGGGAAACUGCCCGAUGGAGGGGGAUAACUACUGGAAACGGUAGCUAAUACCGCAUAACGUCGCAAGACCAAAGAGGGGACCUUCGGGCCUCGCGCCAUCAGAUGAACCCAUAUGGGAUUAGCUAGUAGGUGAGGUAACGGCUUACCUAGGCGACGAUCCCUAGCUGGUCUGAGAGGAUGACCAGCCACACUGGAACUGAGACACGGUCCAG